AACGAACGCUGGCGGCAGGCUUAACACAUGCAAGUCGAGCGCCUCGCAAGGGGAGCGGCAGACGGGUGAGUAACGCGUGGGAAUCUACCCAUCUCUACGGAAUAACGCAUGGAAACGUGUGCUAAUACCGUAUACGUCCUUCGGGAGAAAGAUUUAUCGGAGAUGGAUGAGCCCGCGUUGGAUUAGCUAGUUGGUGGGGUAAAGGCCUACCAAGGCGACGAUCCAUAGCUGGUCUGAGAGGAUGAUCAGCCACACUGGGACUGAGACACGGCCCAGACUCCUACGGGAGGCAGCAAUGGGGAAUAUUGGACAAUGGGCGCAAGCCUGAUCCAGCCAUGCCGCGUGAGUGAUGAAGGCCCUAGGGUUGUAAAGCUCUUUCACCGGUGAAGAUAAUGACGGUAACCGGAGAAGAAGCCCCGGCUAACUUCGUGCCAGCCGCCGCAGUAAAAC
rnacentral:rRNA from 1 species